rnacentral:rRNA from 1 species
AGUGAACGCUGGCGGUAGGCCUAACACAUGCCAGUCGAACGGCAGCACAGUAAGAGCUUGCUCUUACGGGUGGCGAGUGGCGGACGGGUGAGGAAUACAUCGGAAUCUACUUUUUCGUGGGGGAUAACGUAGGGAAACUUACGCUAAUACCGCAUACGACCUACGGGUGAAGGCAGGGGAUCUUCGGACCUUGCGCGAUUGAAUGAGCCGAUGUCGGAUUAGCUAGUUGGCGGGGUAAAGGCCCACCAAGGCGACGAUCCGUAGCUGGUCUGAGAGGAUGAUCAGCCACACUGGAACUGAGACACGGUCCAGACUCCUACGGGAGGCAGCAGUGGGGAAUAUUGGACAAUGGGCGCAAGCCUGAUCCAGCCAUACCGCGUGGGUGAAGAAGGCCUUCGGGUUGCAAAGCCCUUUUGUUGGGAAAGAAAAGCAGCAGGUUAAUACCCCGCUGUUCUGACGGUACCCAAAGAAUAAGCACCGGCUAACUUCGUG